UAGGGUAGGCCCAAGGACACUGCCUUGC
rnacentral:sRNA from 1 species